UAGUUAGCUGGGAGGGGACAUGAACAAAAGGGGUUUUCAUUUUCAAUGGAUGUUCCUGGUGAAAACAGGACACCCUGUCAGGGGACAUGGGUAAGAAUAAAUGAAGAGUGGAGGGGAGACAGAAUGUGUGCACUCUGCCUGAGGGCAAGUUUUUUUUUCCUAUUUUCCUAAAUCGGUGAUUGGGAUUAUGUUAAUUGGCCAUAAAUCAAGCAAACCUCACCACGUUUGAUUUUUCAGUCCUAUGUUUUUCCAGUUUUUGUUUCACCCCAUUCCAGCCCCCCCUCAGACCUGUUGGGUUUGUACAUCUGUGACUGCACCUGUGGGAUCGUGCUGUGACCUUUGCCCAUGGAAUCACUCCACACUCGUCACCCUGCUUGGACUCAGGUGUCCUCACCGUGCUACGUCCCAGUUUCAGCUUCUCAGGGAGUCUGCAGCUGCUCCGAGAGCCUCGUGCUUUCCUUGUUUACAGCAGCUCCCUUCCUGGUAUGAGGAGUCCUGGCCAAGCCCCUGGUCUCAGGGCACACCGAGAUAAGGUUGCACAAUCUCUCCCAACCCAUCUGAGUGCGUUUCAUGUUUCCGUGUCUGGGUGACGUGGGCUGGGAGUGAACAGCUGUCCCGGAACUCGGCACUUCCUGAGCACCAACAUUUUCUGAUCUCCACCAGAGCAGUGCAGGUAGAGCAGCUGGCUCUGGCCAUGCCCUGAGCUCUCCAGCCAUCCCUCCCCACCUGCUUUGUCCUUUGGGUCACGGGGAAGCUGCUCCCAAAGCCCCACAGAGCUGGUGAAGGUGCUGAGAAGCUGAUGCUGAUGCCCAGCUCUGCAGGCUGGGGCCCUUUGCUGGGAGCUGGCAGCAGAAUGGGCUGCAUUUUCCCACCCAGGAGCAGCUCUGGGUUAGGGAGGAGUUCAUGCACAUGGGCCAUGUGGAACUUUGAUGUGUCUGUUGUGUUUUACUGUGAAAGAAGCAGGGAGCAGCAGCACUUUGCCCCUGCACCAUGUGUGUGGGGGCCUGAAUAUAUGUAUUGUUAUAACAGCAAUAAGAAUAUAACAACUGAAAUGUAUUGAGAGUCCUAUGUGUUAGAUAAGUGGGUCCUAGCUAUUCUAAAUGAGUCACAGCUGCAAAGUCCUUAGUUGGGCAGCAGCUGUGGCUCGUAAAGAUAGCUGGGAUAAAAGGGGUGCGUUGAGAGCCCAGGAGGAGCCCUUGUGAAACCAUGAGGAACUGCACUACAGAGAACAGAAACCAGCAAGAAGGUAUGGACUCUUUAGGAAUAUAAUAACAACAAGAUAACAACAAUAUAAUAACAACUGGUGACCCCGACGUGAUGGAGAACAGGCAGCCACAAGGAACAUCGAGGGAAGAAAUGGAUCCCCCCGAUAUGAAGAGAGGACAGCCGAGAGCUGUAUCCGCCAGAGAGCUGGGACUUUAGAAUAUAAUAUUGCCUUUGAAUCAAGGUGCUGUAACAGCAGAAAGCUGUGAGAAUAUGGCUUUUGAGGAAAAGAGCCUUGGAACAUCUAGGGAUUUGUAUGUGUUCAAGACAGCCGAGAGCUGUGGCAUCCUGAGAGCUGGGACUGUAUGUGUAUUGUAAUUGUAUAAUUGUUAAAAGAAAAGGGGGGAAAUGUGGGGGCCUGAAUAUAUGUAUUGUUAUAACAGCAAUAAGAAUACAACAACUGAAA